UAUGUAAAGAAAGUCAAGUUAUUAUAACAAAAAAUAACUUUCAACAACGGAUCUCUUGGCUCUCGCAUCGAUGAAGAACGCAGCGAAAUGCGAUAAGUAAUGUGAAUUGCAGAAUUCAGUGAAUCAUCGAAUCUUUGAACGCAACUUGCGCUCUCUGGUAUUCCGGAGAGCAUGCCUGUUUGAGUGUCAUGAAAUCUCAACCAUUAGGGUUUCUUAAUGGCUUGGAUUUGGGUGUUGCCAGUCUCUGGCUCGCCUUAAAGGAGUUAGCGAGUUUAACAAUGUCGUCUGGCGUAAUAAGUUUCGCUGGUAAGACUUGUGAAGUUUGCUUCUAAUCGUCUUCGGAAAUUACUUUGACUCUGGCCUCAAUCAGGUAGGACUCCCGCUGAAC
rnacentral:rRNA from 1 species